UGGGACAAGAACAUCCCCUGGAGCCUGGCU
rnacentral:piRNA from 1 species